rnacentral:rRNA from 1 species
GUGCCAGCCGCCGCGGUAAUACGUAGGUGGCAAGCGUUGUCCGGAUUUAUUGGGCGUAAAGCGAGCGCAGGCGGUUUCUUAAGUCUGAUGUGAAAGCCCCCGGCUCAACCGGGGAGGGUCAUUGGAAACUGGGAGACUUGAGUGCAGAAGAGGAGAGUGGAAUUCCAUGUGUAGCGGUGAAAUGCGUAGAUAUAUGGAGGAACACCAGUGGCGAAGGCGGCUCUCUGGUCUGUAACUGACGCUGAGGCUCGAAAGCGUGGGGAGCGAACAGGAUUAGAUACCCUGGUAGUCCACGCCGUAAACGAUGAGUGCUAAGUGUUGGAGGGUUUCCGCCCUUCAGUGCUGCAGCAAACGCAUUAAGCACUCCGCCUGGGGAGUACGACCGCAAGGUUGAAACUCAAAGGAAUUGACGGGGGCCCGCACAAGCGGUGGAGCAUGUGGUUUAAUUCGAAGCAACGCGAAGAACCUUACCAGGUCUUGACAUCCUUUGACCACUCUAGAGAUAGAGCUUCCCCUUCGGGGGCAAAGUGACAGGUGGUGCAUGGUUGUCGUCAGCUCGUGUCGUGAGAUGUUGGGUUAAGUCCCGCAACGAGCGCAACCCUUAUUGUUAGUUGCCAUCAUUU